CCUACGGGUGGCUGCAGUGGGGAAUAUUGGACAAUGGGGGCAACCCUGAUCCAGCCAUGCCGCGUGUGUGAAGAAGGCCCUCGGGUUGUAAAGCACUUUCAGUGAGGAAGAACGCCUGGUGGUUAAUACCCAUCAGGAAAGACAUCACUCACAGAAGAAGCACCGGCUAACUCCGUGCCAGCAGCCGCGGUAAUACGGAGGGUGCGAGCGUUAAUCGGAAUUACUGGGCGUAAAGCGCGCGUAGGUGGCUUGAUAAGCCGGUUGUGAAAGCCCCGGGCUCAACCUGGGAACGGCAUCCGGAACUGUCAAGCUAGAGUGCAGGAGAGGAAGGUAGAAUUCCCGGUGUAGCGGUGAAAUGCGUAGAGAUCGGGAGGAAUACCAGUGGCGAAGACGGCCUUCUGGACUGACACUGACACUGAGGUGCGAAAGCGUGGGUAGCAAACAGGAUUAGAUACCCUUGUAGUC
rnacentral:rRNA from 1 species